rnacentral:rRNA from 1 species
AUUGAACGCUAGCGGGAUGCUUUACACAUGCAAGUCGAACGAGUGGCGGACGGGUGAGUAAUAUAUCGGAACGUGCCCAGUAGCGGGGGAUAACUACUCGAACGAGUGGCUAAUCCCGCAUUCUAUUGGAGCUGCCGAUCUCGGAUUAGCUAGUUGGUGGGGUAAAGGCUCACCACGGCAACGAUCCGUAGCUGGUUUGCGAGGAUGACCAGCCACACUGGGACUGAGGCACGGCCCAGACGCCUACGGGAGGAAGCAGUGGGGAAUUUUAGACAAUGGGGGAAACCCUGAUCCAGCCAUCCCGCGUGUAUGAGAAGGCCUUCGGGUUGUAAAGUACUUUUGGCAGAGAAGCGGUAGCUGGAGAAUAAGCACCGGCUAACUACGUGCCAGCAGCCGCGGUAAUUC